ensembl:lncRNA
CUUAACUGGAAGUGUUUAUUUUCUGAUCCCCUUCACCUAUUUUGCAGCACUCCCAUCAAAUGACACCACCAAAUCUCUCUUCUGUAUCUGUAAGCUUAUUUAGAUUCCAGAUGUAAGUGAGAUCAUAUGAUACUUGUCUGAUUUAUUUCACUCAGCAUAGAGCCCUUAAGGUCCAUCUAGGUUGUUGAAUUUUAAUUUUUGAAUUAAAAAAAUAAUGGCUAUUUUGGGGUUGUGGGAAUUUCCCUACCGAUAACGAGUCAGACUGAGAAGGCCAAGAUAGUCACAGACAGGAUGAGGUUAGCCUGAAUUCAGCUGUAUGCAUAGAUUCACAUGCAGUUAGAAAUGGAAGGAGUUUUAGAGACAUUUAGCCAAAAUCCUAAUUUUAAAUAUGAAGAAACUGAGAUCCAGAGAAUCUAUGAAUAUACCACAUCUUCUUUAUCCAUUCAUUUGUUAAUGGAUAUUUAUGCUUCCUCAUGUCUUGGCUAUUGUAAAUAGUUCUGUUAUGAACAUUGGGGUGCAUAUAUCUUUUUGAAUUAGUGUUUUCAUUUUUUCUAGAUAUAUGCCCAGGAGUGGGAUUGCCGGAUCAUACAGUUACUCUAUUUUUAGUUUUUAUAGGAAACUCCAUACUGUUUUCCCUAGUGUUUGCACCAGUUUGCAUUCCCACCAACAAUGUAGGACAAUUCCCUCUUCUUCAUACUCUCUUCAGCAUUUAUUAUUUGUUGACUUUUUGAUGAUGGCCAUUCUGACUGUUGUGAGGUGAUAUCUCAUUGUAGUUUUGAUUUGCAUUUCUGUAGCAAUUAGCAAUGCUGAACAUCAUUUCAUGUGCCUGUUAGCUAUCUAUAUGUUCUUUGGAGAAAUGUCUAUUUAAGUCUUUUGCUUUUUUAAAAUUUCCUCUUGAUACUGAACUGUAUGAGCUGUUUGUAUAUUUUGGAAAUUAAACCCUUGUCAGUUGCAUUAUUUGCAAAUAUUUUCUCCCAUUUGUAGGUCGUCUUUUUUUGUUUAUGGUUUCCUUUGCUAUGAAAAAGCUUUUAAGUUUAACUAGGUCCCAUUUUUUUAAUUUUUGCUUUUGUUUCCAUUUCUCUAGGGCGAGUGUGUGUGCUAAGUUGUUUCAGUUGGGUCUGACUCUUUGAGACCCUAUGGACAGUAGCCUGCCAGGCUCCUCUCUCAAUGGGGGAUACUUCAGGAAAGAAUAGUGAAGUGGGUUGUCAUGCCUUCCUCCAAGGGAUCUUCCCAGGAAAGGGACUGAACCAGUGUCUCUUAUGUCUCCUGCAUUGGCAGGUGGGUUCUUUAUACUAGCACCAUCUGGGAAGCUCAUUACUAUAAGAAAGUGAAAGUGUUAGCCACUCAGCCCUAUUGACUCUUUGCAACCCCAUGGUCUGUAACCCACAGGCUCCUCUGUUCUUGGGAUUAUAAAG